GAUUGGUGCUUGCAUCAUGAUUUACAUUUGAGUGAGUGGCGAACUGGUGAGUAACACGUGGGAAACCUGCCCAGAAGCGGGGGAUAACACCUGGAAACAGAUGCUAAUACCGCAUAACAACUUGGACCGCAUGGUCCGAGUUUGAAAGAUGGCUUCGGCUAUCACUUUUGGAUGGUCCCGCGGCGUAUUAGCUAGAUGGUGGGGUAACGGCUCACCAUGGCAAUGAUACGUAGCCGACCUGAGAGGGUAAUCGGCCACAUUGGGACUGAGACACGGCCCAAACUCCUACGGGAGGCAGCAGUAGGGAAUCUUCCACAAUGGACGAAAGUCUGAUGGAGCAACGCCGCGUGAGUGAAGAAGGGUUUCGGCUCGUAAAACUCUGUUGUUAAAGAAGAACAUAUCUGAGAGUAACUGUUCAGGUAUUGACGGUAUUUAACCAGAAAGCCACGGCUAACUACGUGCCAGCAGCCGCGGUAAUACGUAGGUGGCAAGCGUUGUCCGGAUUUAUUGGGCGUAAAGCGAGCGCAGGCGGUUUUUUAAGUCUGAUGUGAAAGCCUUCGGCUCAACCGAAGAAGUGCAUCGGAAACUGGGAAACUUGAGUGCAGAAGAGGACAGUGGAACUCCAUGUGUAGCGGUGAAAUGCGUAGAUAUAUGGAAGAACACCAGUGGCGAAGGCGGCUGUCUGGUCUGUAACUGACGCUGAGGCUCGAAAGUAUGGGUAGCAAACAGGAUUAGAUACCCUGGUAGUCCAUACCGUAAACGAUGAAUGCUAAGUGUUGGAGGGUUUCCGCCCUUCAGUGCUGCAGCUAACGCAUUAAGCAUUCCGCCUGGGGAGUACGGCCGCAAGGCUGAAACUCAAAGGAAUUGACGGGGGCCCGCACAAGCGGUGGAGCAUGUGGUUUAAUUCGAAGCUACGCGAAGAACCUUACCAGGUCUUGACAUACUAUGCAAAUCUAAGAGAUUAGACGUUCCCUUCGGGGACAUGGAUACAGGUGGUGCAUGGUUGUCGUCAGCUCGUGUCGUGAGAUGUUGGGUUAAGUCCCGCAACGAGCGCAACCCUUAUUAUCAGUUGCCAGCAUUAAGUUGGGCACUCUGGUGAGACUGCCGGUGACAAACCGGAGGAAGGUGGGGAUGACGUCAAAUCAUCAUGCCCCUUAUGACCUGGGCUACACACGUGCUACAAUGGAUGGUACAACGAGUUGCGAACUCGCGAGAGUAAGCUAAUCUCUUAAAGCCAUUCUCAGUUCGGAUUGUAGGCUGCAACUCGCCUACAUGAAGUCGGAAUCGCUAGUAAUCGCGGAUCA
rnacentral:rRNA from 2 species